rnacentral:rRNA from 1 species
GACGAACGCUGGCGGCGUGGAUUAGGCAUGCAAGUCGGACGGUAGGGCUUUAUCGUAAGAUAGAGUUUGAGAGUGGCGAACGGGUGAGUAACACGUAGGAAUCUACCCUUAAGACGGGGACAACCCAGGGAAACUUGGGCUAAUACCGGAUGAGAGUGCGAGAGAUUGCAUUUAAAAGGAUGGCGAAAGUUGUCGCUUAGGGAUGAGCCUGCGGUCUAUUAGUUAGUUGGUGAGGUAAGAGCUCACCAAGGCGAUGAUAGAUAGGCGGCCUUAACGGGUGGUCGCCCACACUGGGAUUGAGAUACGGCCCAGACUCCUACGGGAGGCAGCAGUCGAGAAUAGUCUACAAUGGCCGGAAGGCUGAUAGUGCGACGCCGCGUGAGUGAAGAAGGUCUUCGGAUCGUAAAACUCUGUUCUUGGUGACGAAGGAAGUGACGGUAACCAAGGAGGAAGCCCCGGCUAACUACGUG